rnacentral:rRNA from 1 species
AUUGAACGCUGGCGGCAUGCCUUACACAUGCAAGUCGAACGGCAGCACGGGUGCUUGCACCUGGUGGCGAGUGGCGAACGGGUGAGUAAUACAUCGGAACAUGUCCCGUAGUGGGGGAUAGCCCGGCGAAAGCCGGAUUAAUACCGCAUACGAUCUACGGAUGAAAGCGGGGGACCUUCGGGCCUCGCGCUACAGGGUUGGCCGAUGGCUGAUUAGCUAGUUGGUGGGGUAAAGGCCUACCAAGGCGACGACCAGUAGCUGGUCUGAGAGGACGACCAGCCACACUGGGACUGAGACACGGCCCAGACUCCUACGGGAGGCAGCAGUGGGGAAUUUUGGACAAUGGGCGAAAGCCUGAUCCAGCAAUGCCGCGUGUGUGAAGAAGGCCUUCGGGUUGUAAAGCACUUUUGUCCGGAAAGAAAUCCUUGGCUCUAAUACAGUCGGGGGAUGACGGUACCGGAAGAAUAAGCACCGGCUAACUACGUG